AUUGAACGCUGGCGGCAUGCCUUACACAUGCAAGUCGAACGGCAGCACGGGAGCAAUCCUGGUGGCGAGUGGCGAACGGGUGAGUAAAGUAUCGGAACGUGCCCAGUCGUGGGGGAUAACGUAGCGAAAGUUACGCUAAUACCGCGUACGAUCUAUGGAUGAAAGCGGGGGAUCGCAAGACCUCGCGCGAUUGGAGCGGCCGAUAUCAGAGUAGGUAGUUGGUGGGGUAAAGGCUCACCAAGCCGACGAUCUGUAGCUGGUCUGAGAGGACGACCAGCCACACUGGGACUGAGACACGGCCCAGAGUCCUACGGGAGGAAGCAGUGGGGAAUUUUGGACAAUGGGCGCAAGCCUGAUCCAGCCAUGCCGCGUGCAGGAUGAAGGCCUUCGGGUUGUAAACUGCUUUUGUACGGAACGAAAAGGUUUGGCUUAAUACGUUGAACUCAUGACGGUGCCGUAAGAAUAAGCACCGGCUAACUACGUGCCAGCCGCCGCAGUAA
rnacentral:rRNA from 1 species